AGUGACUCAAGAUUGUACUUAUUUUUUAUAUUUUUCAAUUUUGUUUUCCUUUUUCCGCAAUACCCUUUCAGGACUCGAUUUCCAGUACUACUUGGAGAAACCCUAUGGCGAAUGAUCGCAUUAUAAGUCAAGCAUGAAAGUGCAAUAUCAAUGCGCAUACUCCCCUGGUAGCAAGAAUCUUCACAACAUCAAAUUCGUUUGUACAAUGACUUAUGCUUU
rnacentral:lncRNA from 1 species